rnacentral:lncRNA from 1 species
UUGGGCUCUAUAGAAUUUCAUUAGAACUUGAUACAUAUGUUUCAGACACAAAGAAAUGUUGAUCAAGUGGUCAGAAGAUUCCACACGUACCCCUUAGUUAUUGUCUUUUGGAAACACCUAGAACUAGAAACAUCUGAACUCUUAUUACAUCACCUUUAUGCUAUAUCUUUACAAUUACCAUACAAACUUCCUGAGCUCCUUUUCCCGCUUAAUAUCUCGAGUGUUGAAGUCUACCUAAAUCUUAGCUUAAACAAAUAUCUGCAACAAAAGGAUAAAACUAUGUUUUGUUCAGUAUCUAUAUUAUUUGAUAGCAUUAAUAAUUUUGAAAUUCAUUACGUGUGUUACCGUUCUGACUAUUGAUAUGCAUAAUUGGCAGGACCUCGUGUCUUUCAAGUUUGGUAUAUGCUUAUUGUCAAAUAGAGAGCCCAACAAGUCAUAAUGGGUAUACUAGACCUAAAAUAUUUUUUAUUGAUAACAUCAAAACCUCAGCUUCCACACAGUAAUUCUCAAAUCUUCAAUUAAGUACUACACCAAAGUCCUCAAAAAGGCCCAAUC